UACGGGGGUGGCGAGCGUUACUCGGAUUUACUGGGUGUAAAGGGCAGGUAGGCGGCCCGGCAAGUUGAAGGUGAAAGCCCGCGACUCAAUCGCGGAACAGCCUUCAAAACUAUCGGGCUUGAAGAUGGAAGAGGAGAGCGGAAUUCCCGGUGUAAGGGUGAAAUCUGUAGAUAUCGGGAGGAACACCAGUGGCGAAAGCGGCUCUCUGGUCCGUCCUUGACGCUAAGCUGCGAAAGCUAGGGGAGCAAACAGG
rnacentral:rRNA from 1 species